CUCUCUCUCUCUCUCUCCCUCUCUCUCUCGCUCGCCUGAAGCCUUUUGAUCUUGAUGAGCUGACUCUGCAAUGUCGACCUUCAUUUUUCCCUCGCUCACCUGUUAAGAAAAGCUCCUCUUUUUGAUUGAAGGAAAUCUUAUACAACACGUACUCUAUCAGUUUAUACUCUUUUUCUUUUAUUUUUGUUUUUUUUUUUUACCAAAAUUCCGACCUUAUAUCUCAAUUACACUUAGAACACACUCUCGUUUGAAAAAUCCCCUUCUAUUCUGUUUCUCUUCUUCAAGCAUGGAGUAUACAGAAUUGUGAAUACCCAUCAGAGGAUAAGCCUAAAUUUGGAAAAUUACCUCAAUCUUUCUCUCUUUGGGGUAAUUUUGUGAAUGGAAUUGGAUAGCAUUGAAAGCAUGCCAUCCUCAGAUUUGACAGAUGAGGAUGAGAUCCAUCACCACCACCUUCAAUUCCCUUCAGUUCCUAAGCCUCAAAGUAACAACAACAACAUCAACAAUGGUAAUAGUGUUUCCUCAGCGAUUCAAUCCAUCAGUG
rnacentral:misc_RNA from 1 species